CUGAGCUAUUGCACGUCGUUCCGGCGAGUCAAGCGGCAAAAGCUCCAAAUUUUGAAAUCCUGGUACCUUCGGUGCCCGAGUUUGUAAUUUGUAGAAGGCGACUCUGGGGCUGGUCCUUGUCUAUGUUCCUUGGAACAGGACGUCAUGGAGGGUGAGAAUCCCGUAUGGCGAGGAUCCCAGUUCUUUGUAGAGUGCCUUCGAAGAGUCGAGUUGUUUGGGAAUGCAGCUCUAAGUGGGUGGUAAAUUCCAUCUAAAGCUAAAUAUUGGCGAGAGACCGAUAGCGAACAAGUACAGUGAUGGAAAGAUGAAAAGAACUUUGAAAAGAGAGUGAAAAAGUACGUGAAAUUGUUGAAAGGGAAGGGCAUUUGAUCAGACAUGGUGUUUUGCGCCCCUCGCCUCUCGUGGGUGGGGGAAUCUCGCAGUUCACUGGGCCAGCAUCAGUUUUGGCGGCAGGAUAAAUCCCUGGGAAUGUAGCUCUACCACUUCGUGGCGGACGAACUUAUACUCCAGGGGAAUAAUGUCAGCUGGGACUGUUGAGUGCGACUUCUCUUCUAUUAUGGGGGCCUCCGGGGUGGAUUACUUCCCCCCCGUUAUGGAAUUCGACCCCCCA
rnacentral:rRNA from 1 species